rnacentral:rRNA from 1 species
UACGGGGGGGGCAAGCGUUGUUCGGAAUUACUGGGCGUAAAGGGCUCGUAGGCGGCCAACUAAGUCAGACGUGAAAUCCCUCGGCUUAACCGGGGAACUGCGUCUGAUACUGGUUGGCUUGAAUCCGGGAGAGGGAUGUGGAAUUCCAGGUGUAGCGGUGAAAUGCGUAGAGAUCGGGAGGAACACCAGCGGCGAAGGCGGCGACCUGGACAGUUACUGACACUCAACUACGAAAGCGUGGGGAGCAAACAGG